rnacentral:rRNA from 1 species
GGGGAAUAUUGCACAAUGGGCGCAAGCCUGAUGCAGCAACGCCGCGUGGGGGACGAAGGCCUUCGGGUUGUAAACCUCUUUUAGUAGGGAAGAAGCGAAAGUGACGGUACCUGCAGAAAAAGCACCGGCUAACUACGUGCCAGCAGCCGCGGUAAUACGUAGGGUGCAAGCGUUGUCCGGAAUUAUUGGGCGUAAAGAGCUCGUAGGCGGUUUGUCGCGUCUGCUGUGAAAACCCGAGGCUCAACCUCGGGCCUGCAGUGGGUACGGGCAGACUAGAGUGCGGUAGGGGAGAUUGGAAUUCCUGGUGUAGCGGUGGAAUGCGCAGAUAUCAGGAGGAACACCGAUGGCGAAGGCAGAUCUCUGGGCCGUAACUGACGCUGAGGAGCGAAAGCGUGGGGAGCGAACAGGAUUAGAUACCCUGGUAGUCCACGCCGUAAACGUUGGGAACUAGAUGUGGGGGCCAUUCCACGGCUUCCGUGUCGCAGCUAACGCAUUAAGUUCCCCGCCUGGGGAGUACGGCCGCAAGGCUA